rnacentral:snRNA from 1 species
UUGCUUCAGUAGCACAUAAACUAAAAUUGGAGCAAUAACAGAAAAGAUUAGCAUGACAUCUGCACAAAGAUUACACACAAAUUCAUGAGGUGUCCCAUUACUUU